UUUCUUCAUCUUCAACCUCCAAAACCACCAUAGCUUCAACCCUCCAAAACUCCCUAAUCAUUAAUUUUCAUUUUUAUUAAAAUCAUGGAUUACAUUCUUCCCUUAAAUGGCGCCAUUUUCUUCCUGCUCCCCAUAAUUUCCCCCAAUUUUCAACCCUAACUCACUCCCACCCCCAAAUCUCACAAAACCCAUUUGUGUCAUUCAACAAAAAAUCCAAUCUUGAAGAUGUUCUACUCUCACAAUCUGCUUGCAAGAAAGGGUCCGUUGGGCACUGUGUGGUGUGCAGCACAUCUUCAAAACAGACUCAAGAAACCCAACUAUAUUAGUGGGAACAUCCCCUCAACUGUUGGGGAAAUUCAAACAAAGUAGAAUACGAAGACACAUGUAUCAGGAAACAGAGGAUGGAGUCAUUAGGAGGAAGUAGAAGAUUAAUCCAUUUUUUGAUAAUGGCGGCAUAUGACAUGAUACAAGAAUAGAGCUACGGUUAUAAAAUGUCGACUUGAUGUAUUUUAUAGUGAUCAAAUGAUAUUAAAAUUAUUUUAAAUAACUAAACACUAAAAGGAUAUUUAUCAACUAAAUUUGAAAUGCUUGUGUGUUUUUA